rnacentral:lncRNA from 1 species
GUGAGCAUCUGGCUUCAAGUUCAGUUGCAUAUCAUCUAGAAAUAAUCACAUUUCUGUUCUGGUCUCUCAUUUUCACAAGGGAUGUUUGAAGACUUUCAGGGAUUAUCUAAGAUCAAGCCCUCCUCAAGUCCCAGGCAGUCGUGUUGAAGCUCUAGUUCCAAUCUAUUUGACAAACAGGCUUAGUCCAUUGGAGAAAUAGAAACUUGUUUUCAGGUGAGUUAAGAUACCUGCUUCCCUAACUAUUG